UGCCAGCAGCCGCGGUAAUACGGAGGGUGCAAGCGUUAAUCGGAAUUACUGGGCGUAAAGCGCACGCAGGCGGUUUGUUAAGUCAGAUGUGAAAUCCCCGGGCUCAACCUGGGAACUGCAUCUGAUACUGGCAAGCUUGAGUCUCGUAGAGGGGGGUAGAAUUCCAGGUGUAGCGGUGAAAUGCGUAGAGAUCUGGAGGAAUACCGGUGGCGAAGGCGGCCCCCUGGACGAAGACUGACGCUCAGGUGCGAAAGCGUGGGGAGCAAACAGGAUU
rnacentral:rRNA from 1 species